CAGCAGCCGCGGGAAUACGAAGGGGGCUAGCGUUGUUCGGAUUUACUGGGCGUAAAGGGCGCGUAGGCGGACUGAUAAGUCAGGGGUGAAAUCCCAAGGCUCAACCUUGGAACUGCCUUUGAUACUGUUUGUCUUGAGUUCGGGAGAGGUAAGUGGAACUGCGAGUGUAGAGGUGAAAUUCGUAGAUAUUCGCAAGAACACCAGUGGCGAAGGCGGCUUACUGGCUCGAAACUGACGCUGAGGCGCGAAAGCGUGGGGAGCAAACAGGAUUAGAUACCCCGGUAGUCCCUGUCUCUUAUAA
rnacentral:rRNA from 1 species